rnacentral:rRNA from 1 species
UACAGAGGUCCCAAGCGUUGUUCGGAUUCAUUGGGCGUAAAGGGUGCGUAGGUGGUAAGGUAAGUCGGAUGUGAAAGCUCCGAGCUCAACUCGGAAAUGGCAUUGGAAACUACCUUGCUCGAGUGUUUGAGGGGGGACUGGAAUACUUGGUGUAGCAGUGAAAUGCGCAGAUAUCAGGAGGAACACCGGUGGCGAAGGCGGAUCUCUGGGCCUGUUCUGACGCUGAGGCGCGAAAGCUAGGGGAGCGAACAGG